rnacentral:lncRNA from 1 species
CUUUGUCAGCCUGGCUUCGUUUUCUCCUUGGCUGGCUUCUCUAGAGGGGGACCUGUUUGACCAGUGUUGGAGAAGCUGGGUCAGCGCCUUUCCCAGUACCGUGGAACCUCCCACACGGAGCCCAGACCUUCCAGACUGUUCCACUCCUGUGGAUCCCUGAGUGUCUUCUGUGUGUCAGGAGAGUUCCAAAUACUGUCCCCAUCUUCGCAACAGUCCUAAGUGACAGCUAUGGAGAUGCAGGGCAGAAACUGAGGCUGAGAGUCUCUGACUUGCUCCAAGUUCUAGAUGGGGGUCGCAGAGGCCUGACUGUGAAGUGUCCCCCACCAGGCGCCACUGCUGGACACAGCCCCUCCCGUGCCGGCUCGUCCCUCGGAGGUGUGUCCACAAGGGAGCUUGUGGGGCAUCGGACACGGAGUCACAGAGCUGGAAGAGACCUGGGAGGUUAUCCGGAGCAGUGAUUUUCAGACGAGUCUUCAGCAGAGGAAACUUUACCCAAGCAAAGUCUUACAGGGAUGCUGUAGCAGAAUAAUGCAGGUGUCACUUGGAUGCUGAGCAGAGAUAGUAUCAGGCCCGGCAGAGGCUUAGCUGCCCUGGUGGUGGCGGUGGCUGCGGAAGCUCAGGCUGAAGGAUGGCAACCGGCUUGUUCUGCGAUCAGUUCUCCGUCUGGAUGGCUCUGUGCAACGUAAUGCAGAUAUGAUAGCUGGAGUUCCAGCAGCUACCUUGAGCAAUGAGGCAGCUUUGAGGAUGGAAGCCUUUAGCUGAGGAAGGUUGAGCCCAAAGAUAGAAGACAACCAGCUUACUGAUGACUAUGGAGCCUCCACACCAGCCAGGGGUUGCCUGUCUUGGGACUUCUAUGGGAAAGAAAAAUACA